GCUCCAAUAGCGAAUAUUAAGUUGUUGCAGUUAAAAAGCUCGUAGUUGAAUUUCUGGAGUAUGAGUUGGGACCACUUGAUUGCGUGUCCUUGACUUAUCUUCCAUCCUGACAGGGAGUGCAUUGGCCUUCAUUGGUUUGGUGUAUCAACCUGUCUCUAUUACUGUGAGAAAAUCAAGUGUUUAAGCAGGCAAUCGCUUGA
rnacentral:rRNA from 1 species